rnacentral:rRNA from 1 species
UACGGGGGGGGCAAGCGUUGUUCGGAAUUACUGGGCGUAAAGGCUCGUAGGCGGCCAACUAAGUCGGAUGUGAAAUCCCCAAGCUUAACUUGGGAACUGCAUCCGAUACUGGAUGGCUUGAAUCCGGGAGAGGGAUGCAGAAUUCCAGGUGUAGCGGUGAAAUGCGCAGAUAUCAGGAGGAACACCGGUGGCGAAGGCGGGUCUCUGGGCCGAUAUUGACGCUGGAGGAGCGAAAGCGUGGGGAGCGAACAGG